rnacentral:lncRNA from 1 species
UCAAAGUUAGAGCAGCUGGGAGAGUAAGAAGUGGCAUCAUGUCUAGGAAUCUGUCUGUCUGAGUUAUUGUAACAAAAUGUAUCCAUGUGGCAUUAUAGUACUCACCCUUCUAGAUAAGGAAAAAAUAGUGAAUAAGUAUAAUUUCACUACCCCAAAGGAAGAGAAAGAAUAAUUAACAGUUUGACUCAUUCUCAGCCACAUAGAGUUUGAAGCCAUCCUAGGAUGAAACCCUGUCUUAAGCCUCCCAUAAUCUUUCCUCCCAGAACAAAAACAAUAAAAAAUAGCUUGAACUAAAGCUUGCAUUCCAAGAUAAUUCCUUCAAGUGGCAUAUAGGAGAAAAGUAUGACUGGCCUUGGGAGAGCUUUAAGUUGAUAGCACGUCCUGAGGGAUCAGUUGAGCUGUACCUGGAUUGCAGUGUCCACUGUGUAGUGCAUGCCUGAGCACGAACAAGAAAGGGAGGAGACUCCUAUCCGUUCCAUUAUUUACACCUGGCAGAACUGUCUUUUGGAAUAUUAAGAUUUUUAUUGUUUGUUUCAUUUUUGUGUAUAUCGUACAGUUUAGUGGUGAUUCUAUAUAAUGUACUUUUUAAAUUAAAAAAAAAGUUAUCUUUUACUUAAUUUGUAGAGAUAAAAGGUUUUUCAAUAUAAGACCAGCUAGAGAUAAGUCUGCUUAUUUAUAAAAUGGUGAUUAUUUGUAUCCAUCUCUUUUUAGUCACUUUUAAAGGCAGAGAAGUGUGGUAAAAGGUAGGCUCAUAGGUAUAUAGGAGGUAAUUAUAGACUGAAGUGUUUGAAACCAAGCUGAGUUAGGUUUUAUUUUCCGGUUGCAUGGUGCUUAUUCUGUAAGCAUUCCAGUUAGAGAUUGUGUGACUGGGUAAAAACUUAAAAAGCUAGGCUGCUUUAAUUUUUAGUUGCCCCACCAAGCAUAGUGUUUUGCAUUUUUUGUCAUGGUCUUAACUACUGCUUUAAUUUGCAGGAUGAGUCUGAAUGUACUUCAGAUGAGGAAAUCUUUAUCUCACAAGAUGAAAUACAGUCAUUUAUGGCUAAUAACCAGUCUUUCUACAGCAAUAGAGAACAAUACCGACAGCAUCUGAAGGAGAAAUUUAAUAAAUACUGCCGCUUAAAUGAUCACAAGAGGCCCGUUUGUAGUGGCUGGCUGACAACGGCUGGAGCAAAUUAAAUAAAUAAAAUAGCUCUGUCUUUCAAUGAAACACUCAAGAUGACUACUGCGCCUUCUCUUUUAAAAACUCCUAAUUUAGUGACUUCUGGCAAAAUUUUACCUUAAAUCUUAAAUCAAUGUGAUUCCUUGUUUUGGGAGACGGUGGAGGUAACCUCAUUCGUUUGUUCUUUCUUCAGGCUUGUGUCUUUAGUUUCGUGGCUGCGCAGGCCUGCCUAUGAUUUAAGCCAUCUCUUCAUUAAACGUUUCUCUUCCUGUGAGACUUACUAAAGCAACUUAGUGGCAAAAGUAAUGUUGUACUUACACCUCUGUACAGAAAUGACAGUGAGCUGGAUAUAUGGUUUACAGUAGACAUCCACUUGCAAAGCAUCUGGACAGAAUGUUAAAGGCAAUGUGCAAAAUUUAAAAUAAAGAGUAUUUAUUAAUACGCAUAGUAGAAUGUGGUGUACAUGUUUCUACUCACCGUGGUGGUACUUUAGUAUUUGCCACUCGUGAACUUUGUAUCUAACCAUUGUUGAUGGAGAGAGCAUGAAGAGCAAAUGAGGGUAGAGAUUCAGACUGCCCAAGACUGAAUUCUUCCUUUGAUGAGACUUGAUAACUGAGAAAAGCAGUUCUAGUCUUGUUCUUAAAGAAUAAAUGCAUUUAAACACUG